GAUGAACGCUAGCGACAGGCCUAACACAUGCAAGUCGAGGGGCGGCACAAAGUAGCAAUACUUGGUGGCGACCGGCGCACGGGUGAGUAACACGUAUGCAACCUACCUGUAAGCGGGGAAUAACCCGGAGAAAUUCGGACUAACACCGCAUAAUACUGAAUUACUGCAUGGUUUUUCAGUUAAAUAUUUAUAGCUUACAGAUGGGCAUGCGUAUGAUUAGAUAGUUGGUAGGGUAACGGCCUACCAAGUCAACGAUCAUUAGGGGUUCUGAGAGGAAGGUCCCCCACACUGGUACUGAGACACGGACCAGACUCCUACGGGAGGCAGCAGUGAGGAAUAUUGGUCAAUGGGCGAGAGCCUGAACCAGCCAAGUCGCGUGAAGGAAGAAGGUUCUAUGGAUUGUAAACUUCUUUUGUAAGGGAAUAAAAAGAGUAACGUGUACUCUAUUGUAUGUACUUUACGAAUAAGGAUCGGCUAACUCCGUGCCAGCAGCCGCGGUAAAACGUG
rnacentral:rRNA from 1 species